rnacentral:rRNA from 1 species
UGAGCAAUCUGCCCUUCUCUUUGGAAUAAGCGUUGGAAACGACGUCUAAUGCCGAAUACGACCUCCUUUCGCAUGAUCGGAGGUGGAAAGCUCCGGCGGAGAAGGAUGAGCUCGCGGCCUAUCAGCUAGUUGGUGUGGGUAACGCCCACAAGGCGACGACGGGUAGCCGGCCUGGAGAGGGUGACCGGCCACACGUGGGACUGAGACACGGCCCAGACCUCCGUACGGGGAGCAGC